GGAGGAACUGAGGAAGCAGGAGAGAGUUAGGUCCUUUUGGACAGGAUUAGCAUGAGGACAAGAAGUAGCUACGAGUUUCUCCCGAUUUCAAAACCACAUCCUUCAGGAUUCAACACCUGAGUAUUUAGAUUUAAUAAAGCUUACAGUAAGAUUAGGCUUUUAGUUGCUACACCCAGCAAUUGAGUUACCAUCAUUUCUGAACUAAGUUUGGAUUGUGUUUUUCUUCACACGACGGCUGGUCCAGGUUCAAGAGAGAAAGAUUUGUUGGACACACAAGGAACUAAACUGUAAUGUGGAGGUAGCACACUCAGUAGUUGAUGCUCUUCAAGUGGCCAUUCUCUGCAUAGCAGGAAGUCAUCAUGGACGGGUAGGAACAGUUUCUAAAGUUUUCUCCAUCGCGGAUUCAGUCACUUUAGCCCGGUUUCCCGCAGUUGAGUGAGAUGAGAAAGAUCUCCUUGGACAGACAGGCACGGGACUCAUCCUGAUGCUCUGGGGGGAGCAGGCGAUGGCCAAGAAACUGGACUGCAAGGAGCUCCUGCACAUGGGACCAGCACCGCUGCUACUCGACAGUGAUACACUUUUAAUUAAACAUAGGCAUCCAUUCCCAGAGCUAAGUAUUCAACAUCAUGGGCCAUCCUUAGAGAAACAAGAACAUUCAAUACACCAAGUGUCCAAAGGUUUCAUAAAGAGAC
ensembl:lincRNA Gm15398 predicted gene 15398